rnacentral:pre_miRNA from 1 species
AGUGGAAUUUCUGGGUCAUAUGGCAACUCUGUUUUACUUUUUGAGAAAAUGCCCAACUGUUUUCCAAAGCAGCUUUAACAGUUUGUAUUCACACUAGCUAU